rnacentral:lncRNA from 1 species
AUGAGGAAGCAGAUUCAGAGAGGUUCAGCAACCUGCGUAAGGUCACACAGAAAAUGGCAGUGCUGAGUGAGGAACUCAGUGAAUCGUGUGUGUGUGUGUGUGUGUGCACGUGCGUGUGCAUAUGCAUGUGUGUGUACCUUUUUAUAAUCAUGAUGUUUGCAUGGGAAAGUCUGGCAAAACAGAUACCAACCCAUUAGCAGUGGUUAUCCUAAAAGGGUUGAGAAAAAAGAUGGACCUUUACUUGCUAAACCUUUUCUUGUAAUGUUUGAAAUUUUAAAUCAGAAAAAUAAAAUAGAG